CACUGUCAACUAGGCAGUCUGCUGUUGACCAACAUGUCCUUCUGAGAGUCUGGGUAGCUACCAAAUCACAAAUAUCACCAAAACCACGAUCUCCAUCAUCACUCAACCAACAGGAAUCUCCUGAGAGCCUGCUUCAUGCUCAGCACUGUGAAACUUGCAUUGAAAAACAAAGGCACAAAAGAGAAUACAAAAUGGUUUUAUAUUAUUGGUAGACAUGUACUAUUAUUGUCUCACUUUGGAUUGCUGGUAAAUGAGACAGAGAAAGAUGAGCCAACCUGAAAAGAUCACGAAGUAGUAAAAGAUGGAACUGAUGUUGAGCCCACCCCAUCUCUCCACAUAAUCAUCACAAACACAAUAACCUGUAACCAAAAGAUUGAGACAGAGGACUGCAAAGUGAUGGUUUGCAAAAACCUGAAUUCCAGAUGUCUCUUUCCUUCCUUUUCUCCCUCCUUCCUUCUUUAACUGUAAACUAACAGCAUUCAGAAUAUACAACUGACAUUUUAACUCAUCCUCUAAUUUUUUUUUCUUCUAUGUAAAGUAAAAAUCAAAUUCCUUUUAGGAAAAAAUGAUAAUUAAAAACGGUACAUUAAAAUAAAUAUUUCC
rnacentral:lncRNA from 1 species